rnacentral:lncRNA from 1 species
CAAAAUUUUCCACUGUCUUGGGCACAACUUUUCCAAAGAGGCCAAUCACAAUUCUGCCAACAUCUUUGUCUCCAAUCCUCACAUCAAAGAAGACCUGUGUGCAGUUGAAAGGCAAAGUGGAAGGUUAUAAGGUGGAAAAGCACAAAUACAAGGUAAGUCAAAAUUAAAAUCUGAGAAUUGACCCACAUACAAAAGCCCUGCCCAUCAGUAUUUUGUAAAGGAGCAUGACAUCAAUUAAAGGUACUUUAAAACUAUUGUGUGGGUGCAUUUCACUCACAAAUAUUCUUUCAAGAAACAUUUAUUAAGCACCACCCAUGGGCCAGGCACUGUACCAGGUAUUGAGUUUAAAGGCUGACUCAACUCUGUCAGUGUUGGCCAAUGAAGUCUUCAAUAAUUCUUCUCUUCCCAUACCCCAGACAAACGCUGCUGCUACUUCCCAUUUCCUGGCUUUAUGGAUGAAGAGUAGAAUGGAAAAUAUUGCUCUCUUAGAAAGUAAUGCUCUCUAAUCUUGGCAGGACAAAAGAAAAAAGUUGUGAGGAAACAGGCUAACCAUCAAAAUUUAUUUUUUUAAAUUUCAAACAGUCCUAAAUUUGCAAUGAGUUCUCAAUAGAUGUCUGCCAUCCAGGAGAUGGCAAAAAUGAUGAAACACAGCAGUCCUUCAAAAGGCCUGCCACUCAUGUCCAAGCACAAUAAAGCACCAGGUCCCCAGCUUUCCAAAGGACAGCAAACAUUAAGCGUGGGUCAUCACGCUGACAAAGCCGUCACCCUGUAAACUCAGACACUGAAUUCAGUCCUCUUGUUCCCAAGUUACCCAAGUAGAAUUUGCUUUUCCUAACCCAACAUUUUACAACAGGAAAAAGAAGACACAUAGCCAGGAGUGAGUGUGAAUCCACCUUUUGCAGGUAAAACCAUAAAAGUUCUCUUGGACUUGUUUUUAACUGUCUCAUCUGAAACAAAAUUAUAUGCAUUUUGCUUCACAAAUCACUGUGUUAAGAUGAUUCUGAAAUAGAACGCUUGAAAAGGCCACAGAGUCAAAGGGCAUUCUAUUAGCGCGUUUAGAUUAUAUGAACCAAUUUACUGUUUGAAUGGGUAAAAAAGACAUUCAAGAGAUGGCUUUAAAAAAUAUAAGAACGGUUGUCAAAGAAAAAAGAUGUCUUACAGUUUAGAAAAAUCAGUAAGUAAAGACUGUCAAGCUUCAGUUCAAGUCAAGAGCUUCUGCCAAUACAUCAGUACAUCUGUCACAGGGUGAUGUGAUAUUUAGUGUUCCAUGUGGCAUUUUACAAUUUUUACAUGGCCAAAGCAGCAAAACUUUUAUUAUUACUUAUAUAGAAGAGCUUUAUAGAAUGCAUGAGAAGGGGCAGUGUAUUAAAGGAGUGCAAUUCAGCAUGGCUUGGGAUAGGAAGGUGCUUCAACACACCCAUGGGCCUGGUCAGUGCAGAGCCGGCUUACAAGAGAAGCAGUUUCUCCAAAGGGAUUUGCAAGCCAAGGUGUAAAUUCAAUAACCAGCAAUAACGAAGCAGCACCCGGAAGCCAGAGAUGAAACCUUAAAGAAACAUCAUACGAGACACUAGAAGAGCCUUCCAGACUUUUAAAAUAAAGAAGAGAAAACAAAGCCUGUGAAUGUUUAGGAAGGGAAUAAGAUCUGGGAGAGCAGCAUGAGCAGAUGAAGAAAAAGUACCUGUCACCCAACAUAACUCUUCAGCAAAAAUCACAUAUUUUUACACACAGCCUAGCACACAUAUUAUUAUAAUUUUUUUCCCCAAAUUGAAAUAUCCUUCAGCUUCAUGAGUGAGCAUAAGAACACACAGCAGGUUUUGCCAACUCUACUGGAAAGGAUAAAAUCCAAUCUCAUUUUGUCAAUAAGUAUUUAUGCAAGGUUAUGUAAAAGGCAAUGUGAGGGCACAAACUGUAUAAGAGAGUCCCUGUCCUAAGGCAGUUUAAAAUAAAGAGAUAGGAUAGGCAAACCCAUAACCACAGUACAGGGCAGUGUGUGACAAAUGCCCCCCAAACACUGUAUGCCCAGGCCUGCAGGAACGGUGAGGCUAAGGAGGAAGGCUUGAAGGGAGGCAGGCCUGGGAGGAGGGGAGCCAUCUCCCCAAACAAGGAUGGGGGUGAGCCUUGCCUGGCAGACUUCUUUCUGGAACCAAUGCACCUAGGCAGGAAAUGUGACCUGUGUGCAGAGAAGCAAAGCUGCCCUUCUGACCACAACUAGGGGUUAGAGUGGGUGGGGGGCCAGGAAAGAAGCUGCCCACCAGUUCCAGAAGGCAGAGGAGAGAUGCUGACGUAAGCAUGAGUUUUGUUAGGCAAAAGAGAGAAGACAAAGAAUAAGGUCAAGCGAGGCUCUGGGAAUGUUACUCAAACGGAGAGAAAGAGAAUCUGGGGCUCUUAUACCAGUUGAAGAAUAAGGUCAUAAUGGCCUGCACUGGGGUGGUGGCAGAAGGAAAUGUACGAGGGAGACAGAAAAGGCAUUUAUUUAUUUACUUAUUUACUGAGACAGAAUCUCAUUCUGUCGUCUAGGCUGGAGUGCAGUGGCACAAUCUUGGCUCACUGCAACCCCUGCCUCCCAGGUUCAAGUGACUCUUGUGCCUCAGCCUCCAGAGUAGCUGGGAUUACAGGUGUGUACCACCACACCUGGCUAAUUUUUGUAUUUUUACUAGAGACGGGGUUUCGCCAUAUUGGCCAGGCUGGUCUCGAACUCCUGACCGUAAGUGAUCCGCCCAUCUUGGCCUCCCAAAGUGCUGGGAUUACAGGCAUGAGCCACAGCGCCCAGCCAGGAGAGGCGUUUAAACAAAGGGGCAGACACUGGAGGAGGAGCAGGAAGAAAGAGGGAAGGAAGCAAACAUGACUUAGUGGUGGUCUCAGUGUGGGUAACCCACAUCAUCUUAUAUAAUUCAUCCUCACCACACUGGGAAAGGUGGGACAGGAACUAUUAUCACUAAUUUACAAAUGAGAAAAGUGGGAAUUAGGGAGGUUAAGUGAUUUACCAAGGUUUCCCUACUAUGAGUGUGAGAGCCAGAAUUUCAAGGCUGCCUCUAGCUAAACUGGUUUAUUGUUAAUAGGGCUCUCCGGGUCGAGCCAGGGAAACCCUAAGGAGUAGAAACAGUGUUUUUAGUUCCCCAGUGGCCAGCUAAAGGUCAGCAGGAGGAGGCAGUCAAGAAAUGUUAAAAGAUUCAAUGUCAAAUGAUACUCAAGGAGGACCUGGGCACACACAUUCCUAGACAGGAGGUGAGACAGCUGCCAGCAAACACUCUCACUCUAAACCCUCUCACCACUGGAUUCAUCUCUGAUGUUGCUGAGUGCCUCUGGGAACAAAACCCAGUGCUGGGCCAGGGGUGGGGUGGGGCUACAAAGCUCCUACCCUCAAGGAGCUUCAGUCCAACAGAAAACACAUAUAUGAAUGCUAUAAUAUAAUGAGAAGUCAGAUUUUAUAAGACAAGUACAGAUAAGGUGUCAUGGUAAGGGGUGGUGAUUAUCUGUGGAGAUAAGUGUGGGCUUCCUGGGAAAGGUGAUAUUGGAUUCCAUGCUAGACUUUGGGGUGAGCACCUCAGUCACUUGUUUUUUCCCUCAAGGCUGCCCUUGAAAGUCAUUUGAAAAUUACUCGGCAUUGGAGAUGGGAGGAGGUAGAGGAAGAGGGAGGAGGCACUUACACAGCCUGACCCAAACCCCUGUGGAAUUAAUCCUGAUUCCAUUUCCAAAGUAACUAGGGAACACACCCAGUACAUGAGCUGCGAUGUGGAAGAAACUGUUCUCAAAUGCAGCUCCACCACUCAAUGGCCAUGGAAACUUCAGCAAGUUAAUUAAACUCUGAACUCCCUUUCUUCAUCUGUAAAAUAAAUGAUGAUUCCUUUCAGGUCUGCUCUGUCACAGUAGGAUUAAGAAGAUAAACACAAAUAACACUAACAAGUGACUUCUGAAAUCAGGGACUAUGGACUAUGUGCUUUACCUGCUGCUAUGGUUUGGAUAUUUGAUCCUAAUGUUGGAGGUGGGGCCUAAUGCGAGGUGUUUGAGUCAUGGGUGUAGAUCCCUCAUGAAUGGCUUGGUGCCAUCUCAGUAGUGAAUGGGUUCUCACUUUGUUAGUUCCCAUGAGAACUGGUUUUAAAAGGAAGCUGGCACCACCCCCUUCAGCUUCCUCUCUCUCCACGUGAUCUGCACCUGCCUGCUCCCUAUCACCUUCCGCCGCCGUGACUGGAAGCAGCCUGAGGCUGUCACCAGAUGCCCAGUCUUGAAUCUUACAGCUCAUAGCAGAGCCGUGAGCUAAAUAAACCUUUUUUCUUCAUAAAUUGCCCAGCCUCAAGUAUUCUUUUAUAGCAACAUAAAUGGACUAAGACAUCUGCUUUACCACAUCUAAUGUGCAAAGCCCUCCCAGGUAGGGAUGAUUUCUAUCUCCAUUUGACAAAGGAGGAAACUGAGCUGUGGACAUUAGAUAACUUGUCUAAGGCCAUCUAGCCACAGCCUCCUGGCCACUACAUGCUAAUGUGCUUGCAAGCUGUAAUAUGUGUGCAGCUGGAAGGAUGGUGGCAUUAUUUCAUACACUCCCGAUGCCGGAUCCUGCACAGAUCCCAUGGCAUUGGUUCAGAAAUAUAGGUCAGCAAAUGUAAUUCUGUGGAUUUGGAGCCCAAUGAGCCAGAGCCCCCACCUGAGCCUCUAUGGCUGGGGCAGGAAGCUGCCAGGCUGGCCCAGCAGCAGGAUCUGUGGACCAAGUUAGUGCCACUAAUGGGCCAUGUGGGCAGAAUAGCACCUCACACCUCUCUUAUUUAC